rnacentral:rRNA from 1 species
UACGAAGGGGGCUAGCGUUGCUCGGAAUUACUGGGCGUAAAGCGCACGUAGGCGGCUUCUUAAGUCGGUGGUGAAAUCCUGGAGCUCAACUCCAGAACUGCCUUCGAUACUGGGAAGCUCGAGUCCGGGAGAGGUGAGUGGAACUGCGAGUGUAGAGGUGAAAUUCGUAGAUAUUCGCAAGAACACCAGUGGCGAAGGCGAUCACCUGGGGUUGUUCUGACGCUGAGGAGGCGAAAGCUAGGGGAGCAAACGGG